CAAGUACGUGUGUCACCCAACAAGCAAACAUAUAAGCUGCUGGACAGCAAAUGCAUGAGUGUGUCGCCGUAGCUAUAAUGAGUUUUCUCUUUGCCGGCUUUACUAAUUCAAUCGAUUUUCCUCUUUAUCUUUAAAAAUCCGUUGUAUCAUAUUGAUUUCGGUUUCAAUUAGUAGGGCAGAUAAUGUUAUUUAUUAGAAAGCAACUAGCAAUGAGAGCAAAAGCUUCUUUUGCUGUAUGUACUGGAACGGACAGAUCUGAAGUUGUUUUUAAUCACUGUCACAAACGUUUAUCAAGUAGAAGUGUUCACGGGACAGCAGGUAAAAAUAUGAAACGAUUGGAAGGUAAAGUUGCGGUUGUAACUGCUUCCACAGAGGGCAUUGGAUUCUCGAUUGCCAAACGUCUUGCAGAAGAAGGUGCGUCUGUGGUUAUCAGCAGUCGUAAAGAGCGAAAUGUUGAUAGUGCCGUUGAGCGUUUACGUAAGUUAAAUCUGAAUGUUAUUGGCCUAAAAUGCCAUGUCGGAGAAUCACAAGAUCGCAAACAGCUCUUCGAGGAAACAAUUCGCAAUUAUGGGAAGCUAAAUAUUUUAGUUUCCAAUGCUGCCACGAAUCCAGCAGUGGGUGGGGUAUUGGAGUGUGAUGAAGGUGUUUGGGAUAAAAUAUUUGAUGUAAAUGUUAAGUCGUCUUAUUUACUUGCGAAAGAGGCUUUACCGUACUUGCGAGAAGAGAAAGGUUCAAGUAUAGUAUUCGUGUCUUCCAUCGCUGGCUAUGAUGCAUUUGAGUUACUAGGUGCAUAUUCUGUUAGUAAGACGGCUUUGAUUGGAUUAACUAAAGCCGCGGCCAAAGAUUUGGCACCUGUUGGUAUACGAGUAAACUGUUUAGCACCUGGGAUUAUCAAAACUAAAUUUUCGAAAGCGCUUUAUGAAAGCGAGGCGGCAAACGAAGCUGCACUUUCAAAAAUACCUAUAGGACGCCUAGGUUCACCAGAGGAAAUGGCUGGUAUUGUAACAUUUCUAGUCUCUGAUGAUGCAUCUUAUAUAACUGGCGAAACCAUUGUCGCAUCUGGAGGUAUGUCAGGUCGACUGUAAUUUAAAUACGGAACUAUGAACAGCGAGCCCUAUUAUAAUUGGUAUCUAAUUUGAAAAUAUAUUCUAUAUAAUAUAUUGACAACCUGGGUAACUGCUGCCCAAACCGUGA